rnacentral:rRNA from 1 species
GGUCUGCAACUCGACCACACGAAGCUGGAAUCGCUAGUAAUCGCGAAUCAGCAUGUCGCGGUGAAUACGUUCCCGGGUCUUGUACACACCGCCCGUCACACCAUGGGAGUCAGCAACGCCCGAAGUCAGUGACCUAACCGAGAGGAAGGAGCUGCCGAAGGCGGGGCGGGUAACUGGGGUGAAGUCGUAACAAGGUAGC